rnacentral:lncRNA from 7 species
GCUGCCUCCGGCCUCGACGUCCGCGGGGGUGGUCUCAGACGCGACCACCACUGCGUAUCCUGGUGCUGCUAGCGGUGCUACACUAAUUUCGGCCUCAACGUCCGCGCGGGUGGUCGGUGCUCCCCAUGCGACUUCCUCGGCCUCGCCCACUUCUGCGGACCGCACUGGGAGUGCGUCUGAGCGCACCGCCUCUUCGGUGUCUGGUGCGGGCUGCACCACCGGUGCUCCUUCAGGGAGCAUGAGCCUGCCUGAGACCAUGCCACCUCUGAGCGG